GAUGAACGCUGGCGGCGUGCUUAACACAUGCAAGUCGAACGGAAAGGCCCUGCUUUUGUGGGGUGCUCGAGUGGCGAACGGGUGAGUAACACGUGAGUAACCUGCCCUUGACUUUGGGAUAACUUCAGGAAACUGGGGCUAAUACCGGAUAGGAGCUCCUGCUGCACGGUGGGGGUUGGAAAGUUUCGGCGGUUGUGGAUGGACUCGCGGCUUACCGGCUUGUUGGUGGGGUAGUGGCUUACCAGGGUUUUGACGGGUAGCCGGCCUGGGAGGGUGACCGGCCUCAAUGGGACUGAGGUACGGCCCAGACUCCUACGGGAGGCAACAGGGGGGAAUUUUGCGCAAUGGGCGGAAGCCUGAGACAGCGGCGCCGCGUGCGGGAUGACCGCCUUCUGGGUGUAAACCGCUUUCGCCUGUGACGAAGCGGGAGUGACGGUAAUUGGUAAAGAAGCACCGGCUAACUACGUG
rnacentral:rRNA from 1 species